rnacentral:rRNA from 1 species
UACGGGGGGGGCAAGCGUUGUUCGGAAUUACUGGGCGUAAAGGGCUUGUAGGUGGCCAACUAAGUCGGAUGUGAAAUCCCCAGGCUUAACCUGGGAACUGCAUCCGAUACUGGAUGGCUUGAAUCCGGGAGAGGGAUGCAGAAUUCCAGGUGUAGCGGUGAAAUGCGUAGAUAUCUGGAGGAAUACCGGUGGCGAAGGCGGCAUCCUGGACCGGCAUUGACGCUGAGGAGCGAAAGCUAGGGGAGCAAACGGG